rnacentral:rRNA from 1 species
UACGGGGGGAGCAAGCGUUGUUCGGAUUUACUGGGCGUAAAGGGCGCGUAGGCGGCCUCCGCAAGUCGACUGUGAAAUCUCCGGGCUUAACCCGGAAAGGUCAGCCGAAACUGCGGGGCUAGAGUGCAGAAGGGGCAACUGGAAUUCUCGGUGUAGCGGUGAAAUGCGUAGAUAUCGGGAGGAACACCAGUAGCGAAGGCGGCACUCUGGGCCGGAACUGACGCUGAGGAGCGAAAGCGUGGGGAGCGAACAGG